UUGUUUUAUGAAAGGAGAGGUUAGCACUCCCCUUGACAAAGAUGGAAGAGGCUCUCAGGCCUGAAAAUAUGUAUAUGGUUAAGGCACUGCCACCUGCUUCAUGGAGUCUGACAAUCAUAAAAA